UGAUCCUACGGGAGGCAGCAGUCGGGAAUAUUGCGCAAUGGAGGAAACUCUGACGCAGUGACGCCGCGUAUAGGACGAAGGUUUUCGGAUCGUAAAGCUCUGUUGGUAGAGAAGAACGUUGGUGAGAGUGGAAAGCUCAUCAAGUGACGGUAACUACCCAGAAAGGGACGGCUAACUACGUGCCAGCAGCCGCGGUAAUACGUAGGUCCCGAGCGUUGUCCGGAUUUAUUGGGCGUAAAGCGAGCGCAGGUGGUUUAUUAAGUCUGGUGUAAAAGGCAGUGGCUCAACCAUUGUAUGCAUUGGAA
rnacentral:rRNA from 1 species